UACGUAGGGUGCAAGCGUUAAUCGGAAUUACUGGGCGUAAAGCGUGCGCAGGCGGUGAUGUAAGACAGUUGUGAAAUCCCCGGGCUCAACCUGGGAACUGCAUCUGUGACUGCAUUGCUGGAGUGCGGCAGAGGGGGAUGGAAUUCCGCGUGUAGCAGUGAAAUGCGUAGAUAUGCGGAGGAACACCGAUGGCGAAGGCAAUCCCCUGGGCCUGCACUGACGCUCAUGCACGAAAGCCAGGGGAGCGAACGGG
rnacentral:rRNA from 1 species